rnacentral:lncRNA from 1 species
UAGAAAACAAAAAUGACCAAUAGAGCAUAAUUUAUAACGAACUCGUUUAUUAAUAUAAAAACAUUUACUGUUCACUUACCUCGGUGAGAUCCAUAAAAACAACAUAUGAAAGUAAUAACAUUAUCAUCAUCAUGAAAUCAUAUAAACUGUAUAACAUAACAGUUACCACACCUUUGCAUUUCAAUCAUUAAACAACAUAUUUUCCUCUUUUACCAGCCUACUAGUAUCCAUGGGGAUCCAUAGGGGGUCCCCGCUACCCGUG